GGGCGGUAAAGACGCAUGCAGGUGGUUUGGUUUAAGUUACAGAUGUGAAAGACCCGGGGCCGUCAACCUACCGGAAUUGCAUUUGUAAACUAGGCAGACUAGAGUACUGUAGAGGGGGGUAGGGAAUUUCAGGUGUAGCGGUGAAAUAGCGUAGAGAUCUGAAGGAAUACCGGUGGCGAAGGCGGCCCCCCUCGGACAGAUACUGACACUCAGAUGCGAAAGCGUGGGGAGCAAACAGGAUUAGAUACCCCUGGUAG
rnacentral:rRNA from 1 species